GCCACCAACAACCAUCACGCACUGCCACCAGCCACCAAGUCUCGAUCACUAUCGUGCAACACAAUGGAGAAAGGGAAAAGGCAAUCACGAUUCAGGGGGAAGGGACGAGGAAAUGACGAACCAGACAAACAGAGGUUGGGAUUCACGGCGUCGGCAUCGUAGUGGUGGUGGGGUCAAAGGAGCGGCGAGUGGUGGGGGAUUAAGAAGAAUAGAAGUAGGGGAGAUAUGUGGAGGCUAAGGGAGAAGGAUUUCUGCACAUUCGAUAAUGGGGAAGGAGAAACCCAAUUUUUGACAUAAAUUAAAAAACACUUAUCGACGACCAUAUUGCUGACGAUAUUACUGACGGAUAUAUUUGUUGAUAAGUUACUAAAUUCAUUACCGAUGACUAUAGUUCCAUUUAAAUUUACUGAUAAAUGUAUUUUACAGACGAAUUAUCAAUUGUUGAUAAUAAUCUGCU
rnacentral:lncRNA from 1 species